GGCGACAUAGCCAAGUGGCUAAGGCAGGAGCCUGCAAAGCUCUGAUCCCCGGUUCGAAUCCGGGUGUCGCCU
rnacentral:tRNA from 1 species